AAGACACUAGUAUAGCUGUUCAACACGUUGCUUUGUCAAGGCAAAACCGCGGGUUAAAGCCCCGCGUGUCUUA
rnacentral:tRNA from 1 species